rnacentral:sRNA from 1 species
CCCUUGUCGAAAUUCUCUUGUGUGACCUGCUGAGCCAGUGCUUCCGCUCUGCAAGAAGCAUGUCAUCAUGAACACGGAUUGCACCAGACAUCACCACACCAAGGCCAAACCCUGGGAAGAUGUAGGCGUUGUUUGCCUGUAUGACAGACCAUGAUCGUAUUUUUAGUCCAGAACAAAAAAAAGCAAGGUCAUUACUGAUAGCGAUCAUACCUUGCUCCAUGUGUACGCUUGUUCAGCGGUGCACUCAGACUGAGAUGUUGGGUUGGACAAGGCAAAAAUGACAGGCCUCUAGGAAUUUGAAAUGGCUUCAACAACCUCCUGAGUGAAAGUUUGCCCCUUUCCAGAUGUGCCAAUCAAUACUGUUGGUUUGAUAGUCUGGAAGAUGCAUUUGAAGAUUUCCAACAGGUUCAUGCUCAUGGGCCCAUGGUUUCUUGAAGUGUUGAAGGGUCUCCUUUCGAGAUCUGGUUCUUUUCAACCUUUGAAUCAACAAGCCAUAUUUUCUUGCGGCACUCCUCAAUUGAUGCAUCACCUGUCUUGAUAUCUCGAGAGCUAUAAGUUCUGCAAUGCCUAGAAAGAGACCUCUCCAGCUCCCAGGAACAGGUAACUGUGCUCCGACAAUGAACCACCAACUAAUUUUAGUGCUGCAACAAGCCCAGAAAGGACCACGGAAGCUAACAAUACCUGAAUAUCAUCAUUGAAUACAAGGUGAGUUGUUCCAUAUUUUGCAAGGAGUUCAAAUGCAUUAUGGUUUGCAAAAUCCUCAAACUGCAUGACAAACAGUCUUUAGAUCAACUUCAUUAGGAAAAUAGUCAGAAUCAAAUAUAAAUGUCCAACCUGAGCAGUGGCCCUCUUUUGUCUUAAGCCAAUGUAGAACUCAUCAUUCAGCAGCGCCUCGUUAUUUGUACCAACAUCCAAUGUGAUUGGCAAACACUUUAGGAAUAUGGACGCACUCCUCCUAGAGCAGUGUAAAGGGCAAGCUUACCAACAGGGAUCCCCAUUCCCUAUAUAGAAUUCCCAAGAUCUCCAAGCCCCAAAAUUCGCUCACCAUCAGUAACAACGAUAACCUGAAUGCUCCUCUCUGGCCAGUUUUUUAGCACCUCAAGGAUCUUUCCCCUGUCCUUCAAGCUGAUAUAAAGACCCUGAGGACGGCUAAAUAUGGAUCCAUACUUUUGGCAGGCCUCACCAACUGUUGGAGUGUAAACGACAGGAAGUAGCUCCUCAACAUUGUCAAUGAGGAGCUUGUAGAAAAGCCUCUCAUUCCCCUCCUGCAAUAUGCAUUGAAAGAACAGUGUAACCAAACUGCGUAACUCAAAUGAGCUGAUCACUGAACCUGGAGCUCCUGGGAUACGAUUGCUGGUGGCAGAAGCCCACGGAGGUAGUGCGUUUCGCGCUCCCUUUCGUUGAAGGCAAGCCCCUUGUUGUAGCGAGGAUCCCUCAGCAAAUUGUAACCACUGGCGACGGAGACGGUCCACGGCGUGACGAGCUGCUCCUCGGUGGCGCAGUCCUCGCCGUAGGUGUCCCCGACGCCGCCCCC